GUAGUCGAUGGGAAACAGGUUAAUAUUCCUGUACUUGGUGUUACUGCGAAGGGGGGACGGAGAAGGCUAUGUUGGCCGGGCGACGGUUGUCCCGGUUUAAGCGUGUAGGCUGGUUUUCCAGGCAAAUCCGGAAAACCAAGGCUGAGGCGUGAUGACGAGGCACUACGGUGCUGAAGUGACAAAUGCCCUGCUUCCAGGAAAAGCCUCUAAGCAUCAGGUAACAUCAAAUCGUACCCCAAACCGACACAGGUGGUCAGGUAGAGAAUACCAAGGCGCUUGAGAGAACUCGGGUGAAGGAACUAGGCAAAAUGGUGCCGUAACUUCGGGAGAAGGCACGCUGAUAUGUAGGUGAAGCGACUUGCUCGUGGAGCUGAAAUCAGUCGAAGAUACCAGCUGGCUGCAACUGUUUAUUAAAAACACAGCACUGUGCAAACACGAAAGUGGACGUAUACGGUGUGACGCCUGCCCGGUGCCGGAAG
rnacentral:rRNA from 1 species